AGUGAACGCUGGCGGUAGGCCUAACACAUGCAAGUCGAACGGCAGCACAGUAAGAGCUUGCUCUUACGGGUGGCGAGUGGCGGACGGGUGAGGAAUACAUCGGAAUCUACUUUUUCGGGGGGGAUAACGUAGGGAAACUUACGCUAAUACCGCAUACGACCUACGGGUGAAAGCAGGGGAUCUUCGGACCUUGCGCGAUUGAAUGAGCCGAUGUCGGAUUAGCUAGUUGGCGGGGUAAAGGCCCACCAAGGCGACGAUCCGUAGCUGGUCUGAGAGGAUGAUCGGCCACACUGGAACUGAGACACGGUCCAGACUCCUACGGGAGGCAGCAGUGGGGAAUAUUGGACAAUGGGCGCAAGCCUGAUCCAGCCAUGCCGCGUGAGUGAAGAAGGCCUUCGGGUUGUAAAGCCCUUUUGUUGGGAAAGAAAAGCAGCAGGUUAAUACCCCGCUGUUCUGACGGUACCCAAAGAAUAAGCACCGGCUAACUUCGUG
rnacentral:rRNA from 1 species